rnacentral:lncRNA from 1 species
CGUCAAUGGUGGAAAUUGUGACUUGUCUUAAACAGGAUAAAAUUAGUACUUCAAUGUAAUUUGCGAAUUGUUCGUUUUUAUCAUCAUUACAAUGCAUGCACAUAUUUGUCCAUUUUUAUACUGUUUAUUUUAAAUAUCGUAAAUGGUUGUAAUUCUGAUGCAGGACCCAUGCACUGAAAAACACGUAUAUGUGAUGUGUGUAUCCUGGAUAAAUAUAAUUAAAAUAUUAAUGAAAUAAUUCAUAAACCUUGUGGCGAAUCAUGCCAGCCAGAAUAUGUCAUGUGGAGUGACUUUAUAUCUGAUAAAACUCAUCUUCAUUAGUAUUCUUUAUAUAAUUGUUCGUCCUAAUUACAGUAGUAAGAUUAUAUAAUUAUUUAUCCUAAUUAGUAUUCUUUUGUAGUCGUAUUUUAAGCUAUUCAAAACACUCGUCGUGUUUUAUCAGAUAUAAAAUAUGUCACGUGGAGUGACUUUAUAUCUGAUAAAAGUCAUCUUCAUUAGUAUUCUUUAUAUAAUUGUUCAUCCUAAUUAGUAUUCUGUUUUAAUUUUAAAUAGUGCUUAUUUUUAUUAUGUGUAAUCUCAUAGAAUUGAGACUGGUUUGUUAUUUGUUACUGAACUGUUGUUACUGAUUCGUUUAUUAUAAUAAUAA